GGAUGAGGAGGGAGAGGUGGGACACUGCCUCCUGAUGGUUACUGAAACGUGCCCACCUGGCCACGUGCUCAAGCCCAGCUCUUUUAAACAGCAGAACAGAUCCUUCCGGAAGCUACAUGGUCUGUUAAUAUUGUUUUAGGACCAAAAAAAGGAAAUCCUUUCUAUCCAGCCACAAGGUAAGUUGAAAACCCC